rnacentral:ncRNA from 1 species
UGACCUCAGAUCAGGCAAGGCUACCCGCUGAAUUUAAGCAUAUUAAUAAGCGGAGGAAAAGAAACUAACAAGGAUUCCCCUAGUAAUGGCGAAUGAAGCGGGAACAGCUCAAAUUUAAAAUCUCCGUUGCUUGCAACGGCGAAUUGUAGUUUCGAGAAGCACUUUCUCGGCGGAUCCGAGGUCGUCCAAGUUGCUUGGAACAGCACGUCGUAGAGGGUGACAACCCCGUCUGCGGCGAUCUCGGCCGUUCACGAUGUGCUUUCGACGAGUCGGGUUGUUUGGAAAUGCAGCCCAAAAUGGGUGGUAAACUCCAUCUAAAGCUAAAUAUUGGCACGAGACCGAUAGCGAACAAGUACCGUGAGGGAAAGAUGAAAAGCACUUUGAAAAGAGAGUUAAAAAGUACGUGAAACCGUUAAAAGGGAAACGAAUGGGGUUAGCAAUGCGUCGUGCGAGAUUCAGCCGGUGGGUGGGCCAGGCGGGCGGUUGGCGGAUCUGAAUGGACCGCUGCCGUUCGGGUUGGUUUCCCGACCGUCGCACUUCUCGCAGGCGCGCGCCAACGUCGGUUAGGGCUGGGUCUCAAAGGCGGUGGAAAGGUAGGUUUGGACUCUCGGGCCCGAACUGUUACAGUCCUCCGUUUGUCAUGGCCCGGACCUGACCGAGGAGCUUGCGGUGCAUGCCGUUCGGCUAGGGUCCCGUCUUCCCGGUCGGUCGUCGAAUGCGGUGGACUGCGUGCAGUGCGCCGCGACUGCUGCCGGUCGCGAGGGAGGUGAUUUCGUACUAUGCACCCACGGCGUUGGCGGUCAUAUGGCCUCAUCCGACCCGUCUUGAAACACGGACCAAGGAGUCUAACAUGUGUGCGAGUCUUUGAGUGAUCCAAACUCCGAGGCGUAAUGAAAGUGAAGGCGACUUCUGUCGCUGAGGUGAGAGCCUUUUUCCAAAAAAAAAAGGCGCAUCAUUGACCGACCUAUUCUACUCUUAGAAAGGUUUGAGUAAGAGCGCAUCUGUUGGGACCCGAAAGAUGGUGAACUAUGCCUGAAUAGGGUGAAGCCAGAGGAAACUCUGGUGGAGGCUCGUAGCGAUUCUGACGUGCAAAUCGAUCGUCAAAUUUGGGUAUAGGGGCGAAAGACUAAUCGAACUGUCUAGUAGCUGGUUCCCUCCGAAGUUUCCCUCAGGAUAGCUGGAACUUACGGCAGUUUUAUCAGGUAAAGCGAAUGAUUAGAGGUCUUAGGGUUAAAACAACCUUAACCUAUUCUCAAACUUUAAAUUGGUAAGAAGUCCGACUUGCUUAAUUGAAGCCGGACAGUGAAUGCGAGU